UGCCAAGAUAGUUUAAUAAAACACUAGGUCGUGACCCUAACAAUAGAUAUUUUUUCUUCUUGGCC
rnacentral:tRNA from 1 species